UAGUGGCGGACGGGUGAGUAACACGUGGGAACGUGCCUUUAGGUUCGGAAUAGCUCCUGGAAACGGGUGGUAAUGCCGAAUGUGCCCUUCGGGGGAAAGAUUUAUCGCCUUUAGAGCGGCCCGCGUCUGAUUAGCUAGUUGGUGAGGUAAUGGCUCACCAAGGCGACGAUCAGUAGCUGGUCUGAGAGGAUGACCAGCCACACUGGGACUGAGACACGGCCCAGACUCCUACGGGAGGCAGCAGUGGGGAAUCUUGCGCAAUGGGCGAAAGCCUGACGCAGCCAUGCCGCGUGAAUGAUGAAGGUCUUAGGAUUGUAAAAUUCUUUCACCGGGGACGAUAAUGACGGUACCCGGAGAAGAAGCCCCGGCUAACUUCGUGCCAGCAGCCGCGGUAAUACGAAGGGGGCUAGCGUUGCUCGGAAUUACUGGGCGUAAAGGGCGCGUAGGCGGACAUUUAAGUCAGGGGUGAAAUCCCAGAGCUCAACUCUGGAACUGCCUUUGAUACUGGGUGUCUUGAGUGUGAGAGAGGUAUGUGGAACUCCGAGUGUAGAGGUGAAAUUCGUAGAUAUUCGGAAGAACACCAGUGGCGAAGGCGACAUACUGGCUCAUUACUGACGCUGAGGCGCGAAAGCGUGGGGAGC
rnacentral:rRNA from 1 species